AAAUAAAUGAAGAUUUUCAACUUGCUUGCUCUUUGAUGCUUCAACAUGAACAAUGGAUACAAACGAGAUGAUAAUUAAUACUAGUAAUAAUGUAUCUUUUGCAGUGUAUGGUUGCUUGAAUAUUGAAGAAGGAAAUGAUUAUAAUACCCCACUUGAGGUCAAGGAAUCAAAUGAAACAACAUAUUCACCAAACAUAUCAUCAUCAUCUUUUGAGCCUCUAAGUGAUUUUUCUGAGCUUUUGGUCCAAACUUCAUAUCAAAUUUUCAAAUCCGAAGACAUCUGCAAAAUUCUAACAAUGCAAUCCGGAAAACAAAAUCCAGACCAGGAGUAAAAUUAGAAAAAAAAUAGGGCGCCGAGGAAAGACAUAGGUGGGAAAAGUAAUAAUCAAUAAAUUUCUUCCAUGUGUUAUAUAAGAGGGGGCUCUCCAUAUUAUACAGGAAAAUCUAGAACCUUCAGAUCCCUAUCAGAUGUAAGGUGUUUAGAAGAUUUAUCAAGAAAGAGAUUCCUCGUAAAAAGAAAGCACGUAGCUCAUUCCACUGUCGCAAGGAAAGACCUGUUUUACAUCUUUUAUUAUCUAAAUCGAAUGAGUUUCAGGAGAACUCAACUCUGGCAACAUGCCCUUUUGAGUUUUUUGCGUUUGUUUUUGUGAGUUUAAAAACUAUAGACUGUGUAAAAAAAAAUUAUACAUUCAUCAAAUUAUAUUCUAUAAGAAUGUCACUUUGUUAUAUUUCA